rnacentral:lncRNA from 10 species
CUGCUAGACUGUAAGAGGAGUGGCAUAGAGGAGGAGCUAAGAGUUGAGAUGAGAGGGAGAAAGAUGAGGUCAUGGCUAAAAAGGUAGCUUGCCUUAAAAUACAAAAUUUUCUUAGGUGAAAAGGAUAAUUGGGAGAAUAUUUCAAAUGAAAGGGAACAAUGUAAGCAAAGGCAAAGGCUUGAAGGACCUGUUCAGGUUUGGUAAGUCAAGCUUGUCUGUGACAAGUUUGGAUGAGGAUAUGUGCAUAGGGGCACCAGGAACAGGGGGACAGCGGCUAGGCCAGUUGGAUAAAGCCAGAUCAUAGACUUUUAAUGCCAGAGAAGAGGUUGGUUGUGAUCUUGUGGACAGUGAAGGUUAGUGAAGGCUUAGACACUUGUCUUGUGCUUAUAUCAAGUUGGCAAGGUCAGGCCUGGGCUUUGGGUCUGUGUUUCUGAGGAAGGAGGAAGGGAGGCCAGGGGCCUGAUAGUCUGUUGUUCUCCCCUAUAUUGCAAGCUCCAAGAGGACAAGGGUUUUGGUUGUUUUCAUCUAGCUAUUUCUAGCACUUAAAAUUAUGCCUAGCACUUAGAAAGCAAAGAUGAGUAAUUGUGUUUGGAAUGUGAAGUGUAUCCUAGGACAGCCACCCAAGACCCAGGACUAACUCAUCUCACCUGGCUGUCUUAGAGCCCCUGACCUGACCAGUGGGGUCAGCUUGAGUGCGGUUCACCAAGGAGCAGAGGACAAGGUGCCCUGUGAUAGGAAGGGGGGAAUGGGUGGUAAC